rnacentral:rRNA from 1 species
UACAGAGGGUGCAAGCGUUAAUCGGAAUUACUGGGCGUAAAGCGUGCGUAGGUGGUUCUUUAAGUCAGGUGUGAAAUCCCCGGGCUCAACCUGGGAACUGCAUUUGAUACUGAAGAGCUAGAGUGUGGUAGAGGAUAGUGGAAUUCCUGGUGUAGCGGUGAAAUGCGUAGAUAUCUGGAGGAACACCGGUGGCGAAGGCGGCAUCCUGGACCAAUAUUGACGCUGAGGAGCGAAAGCUAGGGGAGCAAACGGG